UUGAUACUUGUUUAUUUGAUU
rnacentral:piRNA from 1 species